rnacentral:rRNA from 1 species
UGGGGAAUAUUGCACAAUGGAGGGAACUCUGAUGCAGCGACGCCGCGUGAACGAAGAAGGCUUUCGAGUCGUAAAGUUCUUUUAUAUGGGAAGAUAAUGACGGUACCAUAAGAAAAAGCCCCGGCUAACUACGUGCCAGCAGCCGCGGUAAUACGUAGGGGGCUAGCGUUGUCCGGAAUCACUGGGCGUAAAGGGUUCGCAGGCGGAAAUGCAAGUCAGGUGUAAAAGGCAGUAGCUUAACUACUGUAAGCAUUUGAAACUGCAUAUCUUGAGAAGAGUAGAGGUAAGUGGAAUUUUUAGUGUAGCGGUGAAAUGCGUAGAUAUUAAAAAGAAUACCGGUGGCGAAGGCGACUUACUGGGCUCAUUCUGACGCUGAGGAACGAAAGCGUGGGUGCAAACAGG